GAGAAAGGGAAAAGCUUUCCAUUGUCUCUAUGCGAAUAUUCUCUGCCUCACAACAUCAACUUGUCCAUUUGAUACCAAACCCAGUUACUAUUAUGUUCUUCUUACUUUGAUUUCCAGUCUCACCUAAUCAACCUCAAAGUUUUGAAGUGGUUGAUUUGGGAUGACAAAGGGCAAGGAAAGUCAUGGUCUUUCCCAGCAAGAGCAAGGGAAGAUCACCAGAACAAGAAGAUAUAUGAAUCCAUGCAUGCCAUGUUUUCUGGUGUCCUCCAUUUCUAAAAGGGUUAGUAGAUGUUUGUUUGUAUGUUGUUACCCCGUUGUGCAGUGCUUUGGUUGGGAUGACCAUAGACACCAUCAUCAUCACCACAGGCAUUUCCAUUGAUUCACCUUCAAUUAUCCCCAUCACCAAGAAAUUUAAUUGCUUUGGUAUGCCCAAUUUCAAUUUUAUCUGCUUUCUAGUAUUAAUGCAAUUACGUUCCAAGGGUAGGUUAAUUAUAUAUGCUUUAGUGGUUAGGAAUUGCCUCUUUGAUCUUUGUUGAUUUGAAGACAGAUUUAUAUAUACAUGUUCUCAUUCUUCUCUUGCA